AGGAAAGGAAGCCAAUGCUGAAGCUGAGGGAAUUACACAAAAUAGUCCAGAUAUACACAUGCAGAGAUUACGGGAAAGGUGCCAGCCACUGGGGAAAAAUCACUUGGUAUCUGAAGAGAAAAAAGUAUAUUAGGAAAACAUACUUCAAGCUAAGAAGAGAUUGGUUGCAAAGUUUUUUCAAAUUGUAAUAUUGGAAGUACACCUCCUAGCUUUGUGGUAUGGCAAGUGGGUUAUAGUUAAUUUGUAAUUAACCCAAAAAAUGACAAAAUUUUGUCUUACAGUUCAUCUUAAAACUAAAUUCCUGAAAAGAAUCUUGAGUACCACAAUUUUUAAAAACUAAUUACACUGACAUUUCCAGUUCCUGGGUCCUAGUUAUCAAGGCUGUGUGUGUGUGUGUGUGUGUGUGUGUGUGUGUAUAAUAUAAACCAAAUACAACCAGAUCCAUUAACACUUGAUGAAUUUAGGUGAAACUCACACUUACGUAUGGAAAAUCCCAGAAAGAUCUGGAGCUGGAACAGAGGAUUCUGCUUGUAUUCCAUGGGCUUAUUAUUCAACUGUGGAUCAAGUUAAGGACCUCUACAGUGGAUUAAUUGGCCCCCUGAUUGUUUGUCGAAGACAUUACUUGAAAGUAUUCAAUCCCAGAAAGAAACUGGAAUUUGCCCUUCUGUUUCUAGUUUUUGAUGAGAAUGAAUCUUGGUACUUAGAUGACAACAUCAAAACAUACUCUGAUCACCCCGAGAAAGUAAACAAAGAUGAUGAGGAAUUCAUAGAAAGCAAUAAAAUGCAUGCUAUUAAUGGAAGAAUGUUUGGAAACCUACAAGGCCUCACAAUGCAUGUGGGAGAUGAAGUCAACUGGUAUCUGAUGGGAAUGGGCAAUGAAAUAGACUUACACACUGUACAUUUUCAUGGCCAUAGCUUCCAAUACAAGAAAUGUUUCCAAGAACACCUGGAAUUUGGUUACUCCACUGCCAUGUGACCGACCACAUUCAUGCUGGAAUGGAAACCACUUACACCGUUCUACAAAAUGAAGACACCAAGUCUGGCUGAAUGAAAUAAAUUGGUGAUAAGUGGAAAAAAGAGAAAAACCAAUGAUUCAUAACAAUGUUUGUGAAAGUGUAAAAUAGAAUGUUACUUUGGAAUGACUAUAAACAUUAAAAGAAGACUGGAAACAUACAACUUUGUGCAUUUGUGGCGGAAAACUAUUAAUUUUUUGCAAAUGGAAAGAUCAACAGACUAUAUAAUGAUACAUGACUGACACUUGUUCACUAGAUAAUAAAACUAAUUCAUACAGUCUAAUCGUAUCACCACUAUUAGGGUUUUAUAAAACUGCAUUUAAAAAAAGAUCUAUGACCAGAUAUUCUCCUGGGUGCUCCUCAAAGGAACACUAUUAAGGUUCAUUGAAAUGUUUUCAAUCAUUGCCUUCCCACUGAUCCUUCUAACAUGCUGUUGACAUCACACCUAAUAUUCAGAGGGAAUGGGCAAGGUAUGAGGGAAGGAAAUAAAAAAUAAAAUAAAUAAAAUAGAAUGACGCAAAUCUGAGUUUUGUGAACCCCUGAAGAGAUGGUCUAAAGGACGUUAUCUGGAACUGGAGAAAAGCAGAGUUGAGACACAAUUCUAUAGAUUAAAUCCUGGUAAGGAUAAACAUUGCCAUUAGAAGAAAAGCUUCAAAACAGACCUGUGGCAGAUGUCACAUGAGUAGAAUUUCUGCCCAGUCUCAACUGCAUUCAGAGGAUAAUAUCAAUGAACUAAACUUGAACUAAAAAUUUUUUAAACAAAAAGUUACAAAUGAAGACACAUGGUUUUGAAUACAAUGAUAUAUUUCUUUAUUUUCACAUACACUCUAGCUAAAAGAGCAAGAGUACACAUCAACAAAAAAUGGAAACAAGGCUUUGGCUAAAAAAACAUGCAUUUGACAAAUCACGUUAAUAGCCAGACAAGAAGAAAGUUAGCUUUGUAAACUUCUACUUCAUUUGAUUCAGAGAAACAGAGAAUGAGUUUUCUUAAAGUAACAAGAAAAGGAACAAAAAAAAUGAGGUUUGAAAUUUUUUACCAUGGCAAAACAUUAACAUCUGUCUCAAAAACAGAGAAAUCUGGAAAAAUCAAGAAGAUAAAAUUGUGGACCAGUUAGUGACAUUCUUUCAAGCAUACUUGUAACAUGUUUCCUUAAAGUGUUCUUGGGAUGAAAAUGAUUGUCAUGUCUCCACCAACAGUGAACUGAUGCUGUUUCUUGGAAUAAAAGUCAAUCCCCACCUUAAAAAA
rnacentral:sRNA from 1 species